CCUUGUUGAAAUCGAUGCUCCGAGCGAGGUCGCAGAUGCAGUCAUCCGGGACGUCCAUGUUCAUGUGAUAGCUGAACAGCUUCCAGGUCUGCCGGAACUCGUCCAGCGAGAUGAAGCCUUACAGGAGGGAGGAAGUCACUCCGGUGUAAAAUGGCUGGGGGAUGCCGCUGUCCUUCCUGGUCUCAGAGAAUGGUCAGAAGUGCUGAAGAAAGGUCACCUUUGUGGCCACGUUAGCUAAUCCUAUCGAGCCUCAGCUGUGCCAUCUGUAGAACAGAGAUACGAUGGGACCUGCCCCACAGGAUUAUUGUGAAAACUGAACAAGUAUUACAUUCAUGUACGACUCUGAGAAGAAAGCUGGGCACACCGAAAGCACUCCAACGGAGAGGGUCUGGCUACAUUUCCCAGGCUGCUCUUGAACUCUGAAUCCUCCAGCCUCAGCCUCCCAGUACCUGAUUUUCCAGGUGCAGGCCACCACACCUGGCUCAGAAGUUUCCGUUACUCGGAAAAUGAGUGCAAAGAAAAGAAAUCGACUUUUACCUGGAAGCUCAAUAUGUAAACAGGUGGAAACAAUCUAAACAUGUCCAAAAAGAUACAGAGGCAGGAAUGAGACCUUAGACGGUGUCGCAAUACUUCUGGGGCUUCCAGGGCGAAGAGCCGCAGAGCUGAAGGGUGUUUGAAGAGGAGGCCAGCUCGCACUGAAGAGAACAUGGACAGGUGCUUUCCACGUCCUUGGCAGCUCCAGUCUUGGCCACAGAAUGUGAACUGACUCACAGCCGCCUCCUGUCCUUGCUGUCGGGAAGGGCCAGGCCACUGGUCCCUUCCCUUUCAACUCUCAGCUCCAGGUCAGUCCUGUCUGACACCCCACCAUGGAGAAUCAGGACUUUCUCAUCAACCAGAGUGGCCAGCGGAAGCC